UUCAGCUUGUAAAACUAGUGUCCUUUUCCAAAUUUUCUCUUCUUUAUGUUGAAGCUGUUACUGUUUGUAGCCAAAAAUUACUUGUUCUCCACCCCCAUUUCAGCACUGUUAUAUCUAUGCUCUUCAACCCCAACUAGCUGAAACAACUCUAAUCACCUAUUUUUACUGUUUGAGUUAGGGAGUGUUCACAGGACUCAUUUUGCCAGAAGAGCUGAAAUGCUUGCAGAAAGGAAAAAGAGAAAGGGAUACAAACUCAGAGCUGCAAAAUAGCAGCUGAACAUGAUAAUAUCAUCAGCUGGCAGAGGUGGCUGCACACUGAGCAUCUGUCCAUAGCCUAAAAUGACUGUUUUGUUCGGGGAUUUGUUUGUUUGUUGGUUGGAGUUUUGGUUUGUUACGCUGCAGGAUCACUCCUAACUGCAAAUACAAUUAAGAAAGAAACUUCAGAAAAAGAACACUAAGUCCUAUGGUUUUUAAUUCCCCAUUGGGUUUUAGGAAGAAGUAGUUUGUGGCAAACAAGGAAGACAAACUUGAAUCCUUUGCUGCAUCCUUCCUCCUGUUUAAGAAGAUUUGUGAUUCUACAUCUAAAUCCAAGAACUUUCCACGUGGCCCUGAGGCACCAGCCUGACAAUCCCUGUCGGAUGAUUUAGGCUCAUCUGAGAAAAGAACAGGAGGACAAAACAUUCUUACACCUGCCUGUGAGCUUAUUCGUUGAGAGUGGCCUGUGGGAAGUCUGCUGCUCUGCUGUGGAUUUCUGGUCUCUGGGACACAUGGUCUGUGGGGCUGACUGCACUCAGGAUACAACACCUUGUAGAGGAAGUGCUGUGAUUUGCUGAAAAAAAUCGUUCAGGCAUAAGAGGAGAGAAAGAAGUUGUAAAAGUUAAAGCAAGAUCCUCAAGAGGCAUCAGCACUGCCAGCGUCUCUGAGUUCAGUGUGUAGCCUCUUUUCUCAGCACAUUUGCUUUGGGCAAAACUAUAAUAAUAAUUCAUCAGCUGAAGUAGGGGCUGUAGUUUGGUUUUGAAUCCUGCUCUCCUGGCACCAGCAGCAUUUUCACAUGGGCUGAAGCUCUUAUGGCUGUUCUCAUCUAACUUGGUCGAGCAGACUAAAAGGAAAAGAAAUGCAGCUGAAUUCUGAGGGAUCAGGGAAGAGCAUGUGGGAAGGAAAGAGAGAGGAUAUUGCAGGUCGGCCACUUUUGGAUUUUGAUGGAGUCUGCCUCCUGUAAAGAAUGAAUAAUUUAACCACCCACGCCCCAUAACCAUUUAAAUUACAGUCUUCCUGUUAUUGUAAAGCAAUGUCUCAAAGGAAUAAAUAAAGUUGACAAAAAUAGUCUUCAUAAGGGUUGACACUGAUUACAUCAGACUGAACUCCCUCACUGAUGGGGCUCGUCCACCUUUAAAUGUCAUCAUGAGAUGACACCUGUCUAUCCUGCUGUCAUUCUGAACAGAGAAUAAGUCUCUGUUCCCAGUGGCUUCUUUUCCUAACAAGACCAAUUCUAAGUCAUAAAGCACAGGAUGACAAGUCCUAAACCAGCACAAAGUGAAUGGUUUCUUGUUACUCCUACUCAUAGUAGGAGGGGGGGAAACCACUAAGAGGAGGAGUGAAGGGGAUCUUCAUGGCAGAUAAAUUUAAAAUAAAUAAAAUGCUGGAUGUUGGUUCUGUAAAAUUAACUUCUGCAGAAGACCACGUAGGAGAAUGAAGUGACAGAUAUUACACAGAAAUUCUUUCCUGUGAGGGUGGUGAGGCACUGGCACAAGUUGCCCAGAGAAGUUGUGGACUCCCUGCCAUUGGAAGUUCAAGGCCAGGCUGGAUGGGGCUUUGAGUAACCUGGCCAAGCUGUCCCUGCCCAUGGCAGGGGCAUUGGAACCAGCUGAUCUUUAAGGUACUUCUAACCCAAGUCAUUCUGUGAUUCUGCGACAGAAAACAUUGUCACUUCAAUGCUUUGGAGCAAUCAGCAAUGGUAAUUCAUAGCCAACUGCUUAUCAAGGACUACUGACCUUGUGGCUCUGUACUUCAUGAAACUGGUCUGUUGGCACAUAUUUUAUUUUUUUAAUUCAUUUUUAUUGUUGAUUGUUCAUCUUUUAAGAUAAAAGGAUCAGAAGAACACAGGUACUUCCAUAUCAAAUGGAAAUCAAAGGCCUAACUAGCCCUGAAGGAGACAGCCUGUUGAGAAAACAAAUCAUGGAUGGUCUCUGUGACAUGGCUCAUCUGAAACAAAAAUGAGAAUGAUAUUCAACUUUUCUGAACAAGCCCCAAAACCUUUUUCCUUAGUCAGAAAAUAAUUUAUUUCCUGAUGACUUCCAGUUGUUUUAUUAAAUUUCUAGCACUGAGGACAAAAACAUUCCAAAAUGUGAUUGUUCACCGAAACAGAUUUUUUCCCCUAUUUUUGCUGCAGUUCAUAUUUCAUCACAGUACAAUAAAUUGACAUAGUGCCCUCAUGUCUCUUUCUCUUUGAGGGUGCCUCAGAUAUUAACAAUUCAUUUGCCACAGAGCAGCUUAACUGGCCUCCCCUGCCCAACAGCA